GGGGGGACGCAGUAGGAUAGGCGAAGCGUGCGAUUGGAUUGCACGUCUAAGCAGUAAGGCUGAGUAUUAGGCAAAUCCGGUACUCGUUAAGGCUGAGCUGUGAUGGGGAGAAGACAUUGUGUCUUCGAGUCGUUGAUUUCACACUGCCGAGAAAAGCCUCUAGAUAGAAAAUAGGUGCCCGUACCGCAAACCGACACAGGUAGUCAAGAUGAGAAUUCUAAGGUGAGCGAGCGAACUCUCGUUAAGGAACUCGGCAAAAUGACCCCGUAACUUCGGGAGAAGGGGUGCUCUUUAGGGUUAACGCCCAGAAGAGCCGCAGUGAAUAGGCCCAAGCGACUGUUUAUCAAAAACACAGGUCUCUGCUAAACCGUAAGGUGAUGUAUAGGGGCUGACGCCUGCCCGGUGCUGGAAGGUUAAGAGGAGUGGUUAGCUUCUGCGAAGCUACGAAUCGAAGCCCCAGUAAACGGCGGCCGUAACUAUAACGGUCCUAAGGUAGCGAAAUUCCUUGUCGGGUAAGUUCCGACCCGCACGAAAGGCGUAACGAUUUGGGCACUGUCUCAACGAGAGACUCGGUGAAAUCAUAGUACCUGUGAAGAUGCAGGUUACCCGCGACAGGACGGAAAGACCCCGUGGAGCUUUACUGUAGCCUGAUAUUGAAAUUCGGCACAGCUUGUACAGGAUAGGUAGGAGCCUUUGAAACGUGAGCGCUAGCUUACGUGGAGGCGCUGGUGGGAUACUACCCUAGCUGUGUUGGCUUUCUAACCCGCACCACUUAUCGUGGUGGGAGACAGUGUCAGGCGGGCAGUUUGACUGGGGCGGUCGCCUCCUAAAAGGUAACGGAGGCGCUCAAAGGUUCCCUCAGAAUGGUUGGAAAUCAUUCAUAGAGUGUAAAGGCAUAAGGGAGCUUGACUGCGAGACCUACAAGUCGAGCAGGGUCGAAAGACGGACUUAGUGAUCCGGUGGUUCCGCAUGGAAGGGCCAUCGCUCAACGGAUAAAAGCUACCCCGGGGAUAACAGGCUUAUCUCCCCCAAGAGUUCACAUCGACGGGGAGGUUUGGCACCUCGAUGUCGGCUCAUCGCAUCCUGGGGCUGUAGUCGGUCCCAAGGGUUGGGCUGUUCGCCCAUUAAAGCGGUACGCGAGCUGGGUUCAGAACGUCGUGAGACAGUUCGGUCCCUAUCCGUCGUGGGCGUAGGAAAUUUGAGAGGAGCUGUCCUUAGUACGAGAGGACCGGGAUGGACAUACCUCUGGUGUACCAGUUGUCGUGCCAACGGCAUAGCUGGGUAGCUAUGUGUGGACGGGAUAAGUGCUGAAAGCAUCUAAGCAUGAAGCCCCCCUCAAGAUGAGAUUUCCCAACUUCGGUUAUAAGAUCCCUCAAAGAUGAUGAGGUUAAUAGGUUCGAGGUGGAAGCAUGGUGACAUGUGGAGCUGACGAAUACUAAUCGAUCGAAGACUUAAUCAAAA
rnacentral:rRNA from 3 species